GACAGAGGUCCCGAGCGUUAGGCGGAAUCACUGGGCUUAAAGCGUGUGUAGGCGGAUUUGUAAGUACCUUGUGAAAUCCCACGGCUCAACCGUGGAACUGCUUGGUAUACUGCUUAUCUUGGGCCAUCUAGGGGCUACCGGAACAAGUGGUGGAGCGGUGAAAUGCGUAGAUAUGUGGAGGAACACCGAUGGCGAAGGCAGCCCCCUGGGCCUGCACUGACGCUCAUGCACGAAAGCGUGGGGAGCAAACAGG
rnacentral:rRNA from 1 species